AGUGAACGCUGGCGGCGUGCCUAAUACAUGCAAGUCGAACGGAGUGGCGCACGGGUGAGUAAUGUAUAGCUAAUCUGCCCUACACUAGAGGACAACAGUUGGAAAAGACUGCUAAUAAUCUAUAGUGUAGGAUGAGGCUAUAUUGUAUCAGCUAGUUGGUGAGGUAAUGGCUCACAAAGGCUAUGACGGAUAACUGGUCUGAGAGGAUGAUCAGUUACACUGGAACUGAGUCACGGUCCAGACUCCUACGGGAGGCAGCAGUAGGGAGUAUUGCUCAAGGGGGGAAACCCUGAAGGAGCAGCGCCGCGUGGAGGAGGACACUUUUCGGAGCAUAAACUCCUUUUUUUAGGGAAGCGGUACAUAACGAAUAAGCACCGGCUAACUCCGUGCCAGCAGCCGCGGUAAUAC
rnacentral:rRNA from 1 species